AACGAACGUAUAGUACGAGAGGAACUACGUUUGGGUGCCACUGGUGUACCGGUUGUCUGACAAGGCAAAUGCCGGGAAGCUACGCACCACGGGGUAAGAGCUGAACGCAUCUAAGCUCGAAACCCACAUGAAAAAGAAGUACCACCGAGGACACUCGUAGAAGACGAGUUAGAUAGACUCGGGGUGUACGCGCCGAGGCAACGAGGCGUUCAGCCCGCGAGCACUAACAGUCCAAGC
rnacentral:rRNA from 1 species